rnacentral:sRNA from 1 species
AAGAUGUGCGGGUUUCCCCACAUCCUCAAGGCUGUGGGUUGGGGUUAUCCCGCUAAGGGGUAUGAACGGGUCUGCCCUUGACU